AGAGUGAACGCUGGCGGCAGGCCUAACACAUGCAAGUCGAACGGCAGCACAGUAAGAGCUUGCUCUUAUGGGUGGCGAGUGGCGGACGGGUGAGGAAUACAUCGGAAUCUGCCUAUUUGUGGGGGAUAAACGUAGGGAAACUUACGCUAAUACCGCAUACGACCUACGGGUGAAAGCGGAGGACCUUCGGGCUUCGCGCAGAUAGAUGAGCCGAUGUCGGAUUAGCUAGUUGGUGGGUAAAGGCCCACCAAGGCGACGAUCCGUAGCUGGUCUGAGAGGAUGAUCAGCCACACUGGAACUGAGACACGGUCCAGACUCCUAGGGAGCAGCAGU
rnacentral:rRNA from 1 species